rnacentral:rRNA from 1 species
UGCAGCCAUGCCGCGUGUAUGAAGAAGGCCUUCGGGUGUAAAGUACUUUCAGCAGUGAGGAAGGUGGAUAUGUUAAUAGCAUAUUCAUUUGACGUUAGCUGCAGAAGAAGCACCGGCUAACUCCGUGCCAGCAGCCGCGGUAAUACGGAGGGUGCGAGCGUUAAUCGGAAUUACUGGGCGUAAAGCGCAUGCAGGUGGUUUGUUAAGUCAGAUGUGAAAGCCCGGGGCUCAACCUCGGAAUUGCAUUUGAAACUGGCAAACUAGAGUACUGUAGAGGGGGUAGAAUUUCAGGUGUAGCGGUGAAAUGCGUAGAGAUCUGAAGGAAUACCGGUGGCGAAGGCGGCCCCCUGGACAGAUACUGACACUCAGAUGCGAAAGCGUGGGGAGCAAACAGGAUUAGAUACCCUGGUAG